GGUAUGAGUAAGUAUAUGAGAUACAAAUCUGAAGUUAUUGAAAGGUUUAAAGAAUUCAGAUGUAAAGUAGAGAAGUAAAUCAAAAAAAUUUUAAAGGUACUUUGAUCGGAUUGAGGAUGCAAUACCAAUAAAAAAAAUUUCUCAGUUAUCUCAUAAAAUGGCAUUGUUUCAUAUUGGACUACUUUUAGUACAUCUCAGCUCAACG
rnacentral:lncRNA from 1 species